AUUUAGAAAAUAGUUUCUGGAAGAUAAACCAUAGUGCCCUAAUUUAUAAGCUACUUCUAGCAGGUCUUUGAGGCUUUGUGUCAAUUUGGAGACAGACCAGACCUUGGACCACAAGAGCACCGUUUGGGGUGAUGUAUCGGUAAAUUACUUCUCAGUACCCUAGAGGACCAGAAGAGUUAAUGCAGCUUCCAGGAAAACAGAACAUCUGGCGGUCCACAAGAGGACAAACACUGUAUGGAAAAUGAUUCUACUUUCACCAGGAAGGAAAUGUCAUGGGCCUCCGAAUUGGGAGGGGGAAAAAAAAUCUUGCAGCAGUGCCUAUUGGAAAUUACCAGGAAUAAAUAUCUUUUUUUUCUUGAAAUAAAGUUCAAGGGCUUUUCUGGAGUGAGGGAGCAGACUGAGGGAAGAACCAGAAGGCUGCCAAAAUGUAAGUCAUGGUGGAUAUGAUAGACAAAACGACCGGAGAAUAAGAGGAAAGCUGACAUCAAGGAAAUAUCAAUAUCUGUCGAGAAGAUUAG
rnacentral:lncRNA from 1 species